AGUGGAAAGUUGAGCCAAACUUGUUUCAGGCAGCACAUCAAUACAGAAGGAGACUUUUGGAAAGGGCUGAAAGUCUAUCUGCUGAAAGUCUAACCGCAGGACUGAACCUAUGCAGCAGUACACAGGAAAGAGAAAUUUAUAUUUUCUAUAAAUCUCAACCUGGCAACUGGGCUCGUCCAUUUUUCGUCAUACUCCGGAGUAAAAGUGAUGCAGCAAUUGGAGAUGGUGUGAAACGCUACUUUCUAUCCCAGGUUAUUUCACAUGUUCAGUUUGGGUUUGCCCUAGAUUUUGACAACUGUGGCAAAACUUUAUUUUUCACCGGUCAAGAAGACCAUUUGGUGCCAUCAACCUCCCGAACUCUGCUGGAUAGUGACCUGUUCCGCAUUGUUGGACGCAUGAUUGGCCAUUCUUUCAUUAAUGGUGGUCCCUUAUUGACUGGACUUAGCCCUGCUAUGUUUGGAAUAAUAACUGGACAAAUGAAUGAGACAGUCAUAAUUCAACUGGAAGAUUGCCCUGACACCAAUGUAAUUGACAUUGUCCAUCUGGUAUGUACAACAUAAAACCUACCUCUGAUCAUUGUUUUGUGCAAAUAAAAAUUACUGUGAAAAUGAGAAUAUUUGAACUAGAUUAGUAUAUUUUUUGCUAACAUUGAUUUUAUUACAGCUUCAAAGAUCAAAUACACUUUCUGAUGAUGAGCGUGCAAAAGUGAAUGACCUGGCUGUCAUUUGGGAUCUGCCUCGGGUCACUGUGGAAAACAGACUGUGGCUAGCCCAAAGCCUUCUUCACCAUGCGGUAAGUUUAACCUUUUUUAAAACAUCUUUUUUAUUUUAAACAAUUUUUGUAACUAUUUAUGAAAGACUGCAACAAUUAAAUACUUCAGGUCAUUGGCCGGCGGGAGAAACAGAUGCAGCAGUUGAAAAAAAGACUGUAGGAUACUGGAGUUUUGCGCAUGGUUAAAGAACGACCUUCUCUUAUUGAAGUCCUAUUUCCACGAUCAUCUUCCCUGACAAUUGAUGCACAGAUGAUCCUGGAAAAAGUAAUAUGGCCAAACCCUGACAGUGAUGAUGAGGAGAACUUCAAUCUGGAAACAUGCUGCAGAAUCACAUCCUAUUUACGGCAAUACGUUGAACAAGGUACACCACAAGAGCUGAAAAAUCUUGUUGAGUUUUGGGUUGGAUGGACAAGCCUACCACAGGAACUGUACGUGGAAGUGUCUCCUGACGUCAGAAUGCCAACUGCCUCAACAUGCAGGGAGACCCUUAAAAUCCCACUGCAUUACAGUGAUUAUGAAGAAUUCUGCGCUGAUCUAAAUGCAGCUGUGUCCAGCAACAGCUUUGUUUUGGUUUAG
rnacentral:lncRNA from 1 species